UUAAAUGCCAUAGCUGUUGGCACUGCUGACUUCCCUGCAGCUCUGGAGGGGAAGACUGGGCCCCAGGUCUCCGAGGAGCUCUUUCUGAGACCUCAGGCAAGCCUCCACCUGCUCAGAGCCUGCUUCUCCUCAAGCAGGUUUGACUCCAUCAGCUUCAAGGCCCGAUGGUUUUAACUGGCGGUGGUUCUGGAAGCCUUGGAGCAGCCAGUGGAGUAACAGGGUCCCUGCGCAGGCAAGAAGGAGGGUCCCAACUGCAGCAGAGUGAGGGGGAGGGCAGGGGCAAGGUGGCCUGGGCUCUGCCACUGUGAGACCCUGGACGUUACCUAAGGCUCUGUUUUCUCACCUGUAAAAUGGUAAAUGGGCUUCCCCUCCAGCGCUGUUAUGAGAAGUAAACGAAUUAUAAGAGGUAAAGACAGCAGCGCAGGGCCUAGCAGAGAGGAAGGAUGGACACGUUUCCUGCCUGCCUGCCUGCCUGCCUUCCUUCCUUCCUUCCUUCCUUCCUUCCUCCCUCCCUUCCUUCCUUCCUUCUUUCCUUCCUCCCUCCCUUUCAUCCCCUUUCCUUCCUUCCCUCUCUGCUUCUUCUUGUCUCUUCAGAAGAAGGAUCCGCCUUGGAUUACCCGCUGAGUGCCACGUUCUGCCUCCCUCAGUCUGUCUGAAGAGCUCAGCUGCAGGAGUGCGUCUGGCCUUUGCCAUAUCUGGGCUACGUGCACGCACAUGACAGGCACUCAGUAAACGCUGGGGAGCCAGCGGUGACCUGGAGGAGCCCGUGCUGGGCCUGCCAUUGCCGGUUUCUUGUUUUCCUCAUCCCUCCUCCUUCUGGUGGAAAAGUAGAAAGCGUCCACGCUCACACGCCUGCUCACUCGUUGCUUGCUUUGCCCUCCCUUCCCCAGGCUAUAAAAAACAUUAUAUUCUAAAAUGAAACAAAGGUAAUGGAAACCAGAAAUCCAUGUUUUGCAUGGAUCGAAAACAUAUGUUCAGAGCGAGGAUUCAAAUGAUGAAUCCGCACAAGGCCGUUGGCAGCGUUUCCCUCUCUGCUUUUCUCCUCCAGGCAGGAGCAGGCGAGCAGGUCCACUGCACCCCCGCACUGGGGCCGCAGCAGCUGCCCGGGAGCAGGCCUGGUGCGACUGGCCAGAUUUCCCUCCGUGAGCCUGCCUAGGAGUGUGGGGGAGGUGGGCGAGCGUCACCGUCCGUUGCUUACCUUUGGAAACACUUCUUUGGGCCCCGUGACAGAGGCUGUCUCUCAGCUUUGCCUGUAAGAUUAGCAGCGUGGCUAACUGGGGCCAUCUCUCCAGGACACAAAUGUCUUAUCUGAUUAGAUCAGCACUUGUUUUUGCCAGUGGUUUUGAAAAUCCCUUCUUCCCAUCUUUCAGGUGAGGUAACACACCGAGUAAUCCAUGGACACAGUAUAGUGCUAGUGGUGGCUGCCCAGGCCUGAGCUCCCGCUUUUCAUUUGCUUUCUGCAUCCGUCCAGUCCAUGAGCAUUGAAAACUGCUGUGUGCCUGAUGUGUGGUUAGUUGGAGACAAAUCACUGAAUGAGACAGAUAAGCUCCGUUUCCUCACCGUGGGCUGGCAGUGAUAUAACUCUACGACCAUCUGCCACGCUCAGGUUCGCUGAGCGUGAUGCAAAGGAAAUUCAGCAUCGGCCAUGUGGUGCAUGCCUGUAGUCCAAGCACUGUGGGAGGCUGAAGCAGGAGGAUUGAAAGUAUGAACCCAGGCCGAACAAUUUGAUGACUUAGACCCUGUCUCAAAAGAAGAAAAAUGCUGGGGAGUUGCUCUGUGCAAAGGCCCUGCUCUCAACCUCCAGUGUCAAAAACAAAUCCUGUGCCACUCUCUGAUCAAGGGAAUUGGUCCUCAGCUGCUGGGGGAAGCGCUCCUGAGAAGCGGACUGGGGAUGAGAUGGUAAACCACGGAGGAGCUUUCCAGCCCAGGGAGAGCUGUGAGGAGGAGGAGGAAACAUGCACACUGCCCAGGGGCGAUAAGAAGCUUGGAGGGCAAGGCUGGUACUAGGACCUGCCGCAUGCAGGGUUGUUAUGAAAAUUGAAUCAUAUCACAUAUGUGUGGAGCUGAAGUUUGAGCCAUAGAGUCAGUUUUCCAAAAAGUGCCAACGUGGAACCAAAUCCAGAUGCCGUCACUGAAGCCGAAGCCCAGGAACGCAGUGUAGGAGGCCAGCGCCACCGUUUGCUCUGCUUCCAGGAUCCUCUUCACAGCCCCGGCUGUUGUGUAGGAGUUUCGGACAGCCCUGGGUCACAGCCCAAAGCUCCAAACUGUGGCUGCGUGGAUGCAUUGCCCUUGGCCUCAGGCCUGUGGGAGGUAAGUAAGGCUGUGGUAGAGCAAAGUGAAAUUCCUUUACUAAAUCUCACUUUACCCGGUUAGUACAUCUCAGUCUUGAGCUCUCAGUUGACCCUCAGGACCCCUUUCUUGAACGCCUGGGCUGGGCGGGACUGAUCUCCUCCCCACCCCCCAUAGUAUCCUCAUACUUUCUGGGUACCUUUGUUCAGUUGUCUCCUGUCUGCUAGAGAGUCAGCUCUGGGAGGAGGUGGAAUCGCUCGUGUUGUUUUCUGCCCUGUUCUUAGUACUUGCUUGUCCUCUGGGGCCUGGAAAGUGCUCAGUAACACUGAUCAGAGGAGAACACGGCAGUUCGGUUCCCUGUGUGGUUCCUUCUUAGCCGUGUGACUCUGGAACAGUCAGUCUUCUCGACUACGGUUUCUUCAUUGCUGAAAGAAAGGUAGGCUUGGGCCUGGGGAUUUAGCUCAGCAGCAUAAGCGCCUGCCUUGCAAGCAGACAGUCGAUCCCUGGUACCGAUAAAAACGAAAUAGACAAAAAAGAAAAUGAAAAAAAAAAAAAAAAAGAAAGGUAGUCUCCACCACGCUGUCCAGCUCUGCCGUCCUGCUACCUGUUGCCUGCUAUCCGCCCCUAUCUGUGCCCUGACCCCCCCCCCCACCCCCACAUGAGUCAGGCCCCAAGAAUGCUGAGAACUCACUCACUCAGGGGUUCCAUGUUCUCUGCGGAAACUUUUGCUCUUCAAAUGUCUCUCUGAUGUGGUCCUUGGCAGCGUCACCCACUGUUGGGAGCCACCACAUUGCCGAGCCGCCGCAUAUAGCGAUCAUGCGGCCUGUGGUAAAGAGUAAAGCCUGAGUUAGAUUACCCCUCCCAUCGAGCACGUUAGUUUCCUGCUUACCGCGUAAACAACCCGCUCAAUAAUAUGUUAGCCAAUCAGCUUGCCUUGCUUACUUUAACAUGAUUGGACACUGUAUCCGUAUAUAUACUGGUGCCACCCCUGGGGGGAAGUAGAAGCCCGGAAGGAGCCGCGGAGAGCGGACCGGUAGAGGCUUCGGAGCGAAGCACGGAAGGAGCCGCGGGGAGCGGACCAGAGGAGGCUUCGGCUGGGAGCGAUCCCAGGGCAGGCUGUACGGAGAGAAAAUAAAAGAAAAGGUUGUCCACUGCCA